UACGAAGGGGGCUAGCGUUGUUCGGAAUUACUGGGCGUAAAGCGCACGUAGGCGGGUUUGUAAGUAGGGGGUGAAAUCCCAGAGCUCAACUCUGGAACUGCCUUCUAAACUGCAAGCCUGGAGGUCAGGAGAGGCGAGUGGAAUACCGAGUGUAGAGGUGAAAUUCGUAGAUAUUCGGAAGAACACCAGUGGCGAAGGCGGCUCACUGGACUGGUAUUGACGCUGAGGUGCGAAAGCGUGGGGAGCAAACAGG
rnacentral:rRNA from 1 species